GUGCUCGCUUUGGCAGCACAUAUACUAAAAUUGGAAGGAUACAGAGAAGAUUAGCACGGUCCUUGCGCAAGGAUGCCACGCAAAUUCCUGAAGCGCUCCAUAUUUUU
ensembl:snRNA U6 U6 spliceosomal RNA